GGUCAGUGACGUCACGGCAUGUAUUAGCUGAACGCUAACCUGAGGCCAGUUACAAAUAGCAGUGAGACCUU
ensembl:snoRNA Snord45l1 small nucleolar RNA, C/D box 45 like 1